GAGUGCACUUUAGCCAUAGCAAGAGCAAGAUCAGAGAGAAAUAAGGACUUAUGACCAUUAGACCAGGAGACAGGAAGCGAUGGUUCUGGAAGGGGCUCUGUUACUAACUUUGGAAUUCAACUGUCCAGAUAGAAAGGUGGACAUGGAAAAAUUGGGCUUUGCAAAUGGUCACCCAAUUCUUGCCUUCCUGGUCUCCAGAUCACCCUUCCUAUACCGCCACUCUGGAGAAAGAAGUACAGAACGCUAACAAGCUAGAUACAGAGGACCUAACAUACAACUCAGAGUCCCUAGAAGAUGGAGAAAACACAGACAAUUGGCAGAGGAGAUGAGCAUGUGAUUAUUGUUACCACUUGUCUGGAAGCAACCAGAAUGGAGUGGGGAAGACUCAAGGAGGAGAUCUUCACAGGACUCACCUCUCAUCACAGCUCCCGUGUGGUUGUAAUCACCCCAGAGGGAAAAAUAAUUUCGGUUUUUUAUGGUUUAAUUAUUGGUGAUAGCAGCUGUUUUGAAGACACAAACACAGAAGCAAGUUCUAGAACAUACUCACAGUUUCCUUGGUCACAGUGUUGUCAGUGGUUCUAUAAAGGUCUUAUGAAUCUCUACUUAGUUGACCACAAGUAGUAAGCAAGAAACAAUCCUGUAAAGAGAAUGGAGGUCAGAAUAAAGAAGCCUUGAGGGUUUAAAUCGCUUCUUGAAAAGAAAUGCCCGUGUGUCAAGGAGCUAAGGGAGACCAGCCCAGGAGGAGCUGAAUCCUGCCAACAAUCACUUGAGUGAACUUGAGAGUGAAUCCUCUCCAUGUUAAGCCUUGAGGUGAUUGUAGCUCCAUCAAAUACCUUCAUUGUAGCCUUGUGAGAGAUCUGAGUCAGAGGAUGGAGUUAAGCCAAGCCCAGAUUCCAGACCCUCAGAAACUUGAAAGCGGAAUACCUGGUUAUCCGGAGGUCACUGUCUCCACACAGAGUGGUGUCCUUGAUGCUAGCUUGGGGCAAAGAAGCCAGGCAAUCAAGGCUUUAAAUGCGUGGAUUUAUCAUCACCUCAAAUCGCCUGUCACUGUGAUGGAACAAAAAUAGAAAGUUGGGCUAAUAUCUUCCUGCUAGCAUGUUUCCAUCUGUGAGUUUGAUCAAAGCAACUUUAUCUGCGAAAUUUUGAAGAAUCAGCUUCAUCUCCACUUGGCAGCAUGUGGUAAAUGAAGGUAUUUCUGAAAACCAAGAGAGAGAUGAAUAAGGAAUGAAAACAUACUCCACAUGGACUCAAUAAAUCUUGGGUGAAAUGAUGCUGUCUGACAAGGUAAAUAAAAAAUGCAGCACUCAAGCACCAGCACUGGGGAUGAGAUGAGGACACACCAAUUACCAGCACUUCUGCCUGCUUUGCUUUGUUGACA
rnacentral:lncRNA from 10 species